rnacentral:rRNA from 1 species
AUGGCGGCACUGAAGGUGUGCGUGCUGCUGUUCACGGCCUUCUUCUUCUCGGCGCACAUCCAGCAGUUGUCUGCGGCCUUCAAGGUGCGCGGCAAUGGCGGGGGCCAUCGGUCGGGCGACCGCGUGCUUGCUCACGUCCGCGGCGCCGUUCGUCACCGGUUUCGGGCGUUUGCGCCUUCGGUGGACUGCAUCGUGGAUGGUCUGAAAACGAACAAGCUUCUUCUUACUUGA